rnacentral:rRNA from 1 species
UAUUGGGCGUAAGAGCUCGUAGGCGGUUUGUCGCGUCUGCCGUGAAAGUCCGGGGCUCAACCCCGGAUCUGCGGUGGGUACGGGCAGACUAGAGUGAUGUAGGGGAGACUGGAAUUCCUGGUGUAGCGGUGAAAUGCGCAGAUAUCAGGAGGAACACCGAUGGCGAAGGCAGGUCUCUGGGCAUUAACUGACGCUGAGGAGCGAAAGCAUGGGGAGCGAACAGGAUUAGAUACCCUGGUAGUCCAUGCCGUAAACGUUGGGCACUAGGUGUGGGGGACAUUCCACGUUUUCCGCGCCGUAGCUAACGCAUUAAGUGCCCCGCCUGGGGAGUACGGCCGCAAGGCUAAAACUCAAAGGAAUUGACGGGGGCCCGCACAAGCGGCGGAGCAUGCGGAUUAAUUCGAUGCAACGCGAAGAACCUUACCAAGGCUUGACAUGAACCGGAAACGCCUGGAAACAGGUGCCCCGCUUGCGGUCGGUUUACAGGUGGUGCAUGGUUGUCGUCAGCUCGUGUCGUGAGAUGUUGGGUUAAGUCCCGCAACGAGCGCAACCCUCGUUCCAUGUUGCCAGCGGGUUAUGCCGGGGACUCAUGGGAGACUGCCGGGGUCAACUCGGAGGAAGGUGGGGACGACGUCAAAUCAUCAUGCCCCUUAUGUCUUGGGCUUCACGCAUGCUACAAUGGCCGGUACAAAGGGUUGCGAUACUGUGAGGUGGAGCUAAUCCCAAAAAGCCGGUCUCAGUUCGGAUUGGGGUCUGCAACUCGACCCCAUGAAGUCGGAGUCGCUAGUAAUCGCAGAUCAGCAACGCUGCGGUGAAUACGUUCCCGGGCCUUGUACACACCCGCCCGUCA